AACUCUCUCACGGAAUUGCGAAUUGAGAACUGUAAUGAGUUGAUGAUAUCAGUUGAGGAAUUUGGAAACCUCAAUAUUAAUAAUUCACUACAGAGAUUGUUUAUCAGGGAUUGUCCUAAGUUGGUGUCUUCAGAAGAUGUUCCCUUAGAAUCAGACUUGAUCCUAAGAACAUCGAUGUAGAUAUCAUAAAGGAAUAGCAGAAGAAGAGUCAAUUAUAAGAAGUGAUAACCAAACGAGUAGCAGACUCAACAAGGUGAUGGAAUAAGUGCGUCUUGAAGUGGAUACAAUGGUGAUUGAAAUUUCAAUUUGUUUGUUCUCAGUAAUAAGGAGAAAUUGCUACAAAAUCCAGACGAAAUCCAGUUAUCAUUAUGAUUAAAUAUUCUGGUUGGUCAAGCUUAUCAAGUCUAGC